GGACUAAAAUCCGUUGGCUUUUUAGACCGUGAGGGUUCAAGUCCCUCUACCCCUA
rnacentral:tRNA from 2 species